GGGGUGAGUAAAGUGGCGAAAGGGUGAGUAAUGCGUAGAUAACCUACCCUCGAGAUCGGGAUAACAGCUCGAAAGGGCUGCUAAUACCGGAUGGCGCGCGCAUGACUUCGGUCGUGCGAGCUAAAUGGUGGGGACCUUCGGGCCUGCCGCUCGAGGAGGGGUCUACGUCCUAUUAGCUUGUUGGUGGGGUAACGGCCCACCAAGGUGACGAUGGGUAGCCGGCCUGAGAGGGUGUCCGGCCACACUGGGACUGAGACACUGCCCAGACUCCUACGGGAGGCUGCAGUCGAGAAUCUUCCGCAAUGGGCGAAAGCCUGACGGAGCGACGCCGCGUGGACGAUGAAGGCCUUCGGGUUGUAAAGUCCUUUCGCGCAGGAGGAAUUGUGGGGUGUUAAUACCAUCUCGCUUGACGUUACUGUGUAAAGAAGCUCCGGCUAACUUCGUGCCAGCAGCCGCGGUAAUACGAAGGGAGCAAGCGUUGUUCGGAAUCACUGGGCAUAAAGGGCACGUAGGCGGCCAGGUAAGUUGGAUGUGAAAGCCCAUGGCUCAACCAUGGAAUUGCAUUCAAAACUGCCGGGCUUGAGGCCGGUAGGGGAGUGUGGAACUUCUAGUGUAGCGGUGAAAUGCGUAGAUAUUAGAAGGAACGCCGGUGGCGAAAGCGACACUCUGGACCGGUUCUGACGCUGAGGUGCGAAAGCUAGGGGAGCAAACAGGAUUAGAUACCCUGGUAGUCCUAGCCCUAAACGAUGAGCACUAGGUAGGGGAGGUUCCGAUGCCUUCUCUGCUGUAGCAAAUGUAUUAAGUGCUCCGCCUGGGAAGUACGGUCGCAAGGCUAAAACUCAAAGGAAUUGACGGGGGCUCACACAAGCG
rnacentral:rRNA from 1 species